rnacentral:rRNA from 1 species
UACGGAGGAUGCAAGCGUUAUCCGGAUUUAUUGGGUUUAAAGGGUGCGUAGGCGGAUAUGUAAGUCAGCGGUGAAACUCACAGGCUCAACCUGUGCCGUGCCGUUGAAACUGUGUAUCUGGAAUGCGGAUGCUGUGGGAGGAAUGUGUAGUGUAGCGGUGAAAUGCAUAGAUAUUACACAGAACACCGAUUGCGAAGGCAUCUCACAAAGCCGUUAUUGACGCUGAGGCACGAAAGUAGUGGGGAGUCAAA